rnacentral:rRNA from 1 species
CCUGCCCACUGCAGGGGGACAACAGCUGGAAACAGAUGCUAAUACCCCAUAAGCCUAAGGGUUCAAAGGAGCAAUCCGGGAGAGGAGAGACUCGCGUCCUAUCAGUUAGUAGGUGAGAUAAUGGCUCACCUAGGAUAAGACGGGUAACCGGACUGAGAGGUCGAACGGUCACACUGGAAAUGAGACACGGUCCAGACUCCUACGGGAGGCAGCAGUGGGGAAUCCUGGGCAAUGGGGGCAACCCUGACCCAGCGACGCCGCCGUGGGUGAAGAAAUUCUUCGGAAUGUAAAGCCCUGUUGUAUGGGAAGAUAAUGACGGUACCAUACCAGAAAGCCCCGGCAAACUACGUGCCAGCAGCCUGCGGUAAUACGUAGGGGGCAAGCGUUGUCCGGAAUUACUGGGCGUAAAGCGCAAGCAGGGCGGAUACUUGUAAGUUCCGUUGUUAAAUGCAAAGGCUCAACCUUUGUUUGUCGUCGGAUACUCCAAAUCUAGAGUAUCUGAGAGGGAAGUGGAAUUUCAGGUGUAACGGUGAAAUGUGUAGAUAUGUGGAGGCACACCAGUGGCGAAGACGACUUCCUG